ensembl:snoRNA SNORA70 Small nucleolar RNA SNORA70
CUGCAGAGAGUUAAACCAACUGAGUCCUUUCCUUGUGGGUGGUGGGAUGCAGUGACUGCAGGUAGCAGCCCCUCUCGGUAGUAUAUGCAGCUGUUGCCUGGAAGGGUUAAACUAAGGGGCCUUGGGGACAAAC